rnacentral:rRNA from 1 species
UACGUAGGGGGCAAGCGUUGUCCGGAUUUAUUGGGCGUAAAGCGCUCGCAGGUGGUUCGUCGCGUCGUGCGUGAAAGACCCCGGCUCAACUGGGGAGGGUCGUGCGAUACGGGCGGACUGGAGGCCAGUAGGGGGAUGCGGAAUUCCGGGUGUAGUGGUGGAAUGCGUAGAGAUCCGGAGGAACACCAGCGGCGAAGGCGGCAUCCUGGACUGGUCCUGACACUCAGGAGCGAAAGCGUGGGGAGCGAGUCCGG